rnacentral:rRNA from 1 species
UACGAAGGGGGCUAGCGUUGUUCGGAAUUACUGGGCGUAAAGCGCGCGCAGGCGGCUAUCCAAGUCAGUGGUGAAAGCCCGGAGCUCAACUCCGGAACUGCCAUUGAAACUGUUUAGCUUGAGGAUGAGAGAGGUGAGUGGAAUUCCCAGUGUAGAGGUGAAAUUCGUAGAUAUUGGGAAGAACACCGGUGGCGAAGGCGGCUCACUGGCCCGAUACUGACGCUGAGGCACGAAAGCGUGGGGAGCAAACAGG